UACAGAGGGGGCAAGCGUUGUUCGGAAUUACUGGGCGUAAAGGGCGCGUAGGCGGCCUGUUAAGUCGAACGUGAAAUCCCCGGGCUCAACCCGGGAACUGCGUCCGAAACUGGCAGGCUUGAAUCCGGGAGAGGGAUGUGGAAUUCCAGGUGUAGCGGUGAAAUGCGUAGAUAUCUGGAGGAAUACCGGUGGCGAAGGCGGCAUCCUGGACCAUUACUGACGCUGAGGCGCGAAAGCUAGGGGAGCAAACGGG
rnacentral:rRNA from 1 species